CGCACGGGUGCGUAACGCGUAUGCAACCUACCUUCAUCUGGGGGAUAGCCCGGAGAAAUCCGGAUUAAUACCGCAUAAAAUCACAGCACUGCAUAGUGUAAUGAUCAAACAUUUAUGGGAAGAAGAUGGGCAUGCGUGUCAUUAGCUAGUUGGCGGGGUAACGGCCCACCAAGGCGACGAUGACUAGGGGAUCUGAGAGGAUGGCCCCCCACACUGGUACUGAGACACGGACCAGACUCCUACGGGAGGCAGCAGUAAGGAAUAUUGGUCAAUGGAGGCAACUCUGAACCAGCCAUGCCGCGUGCAGGAAGACUGCCCUAUGGGUUGUAAACUGCUUUUAUCCGGGAAUAAACCUGCUUACGUGUAAGUAGCUGAAUGUACCGGAAGAAUAAGGAUCGGCUAACUCCGUGCCAGCAGCCGCGGUAAUACGGAGGAUCCAAGCGUUAUCCGGAUUUAUUGGGUUUAAAGGGUGCGUAGGCGGCCUGUUAAGUCAGGGGUGAAAGACGGUAGCUCAACUAUCGCAGUGCCCUUGAUACUGAUGGGCUUGAAUGGACUAGAGGUAGGCGGAAUGAGACAAGUAGCGGUGAAAUGCAUAGAUAUGUCUCAGAACACCGAUUGCGAAGGCAGCUUACUAUGGUCUUAUUGACGCUGAGGCACGAAAGCGUGGGGAUCAAACAGGAUUAGAUACCCUGGUAGUCCACGCCCUAAACGAUGAACACUCGCUGUUGGCGAUACACAGUCAGCGGCUAAGCGAAAGCGUUAAGUGUUCCACCUGGGGAGUACGCUCGCAAGAGUGAAACUCAAAGGAAUUGACGGGGGCCCGCACAAGCGGAGGAGCAUGUGGUUUAAUUCGAUGAUACGCGAGGAACCUUACCCGGGCUUGAAAGUUAGUGAAUGAUCUAGAGAUAGAUCAGUGAGCAAUCACACGAAACUAGGUGCUGCAUGGCUGUCGUCAGCUCGUGCCG
rnacentral:rRNA from 1 species